CCCAUUUAAAGAGAGAGAAGGUCAUGAAGGGGAAUUUAUAUACCAAGAUAAGUGCCUUUCACCAUUAAUUUCACUUGUAGAAAAAUUAGAUUCUCUCAAGCUAUUCUUAACUAGAAACAGCCGCCUAAUUUCUCCUAGGGUUCUUGAAGAAACCCUUUUUAUUUCUAUAAUUCCCCGAGAGCACACCCUGGAUGCCACACAGUGCUUACAGCUCCGAAUGACCACGAGCUAACCCAUG
rnacentral:lncRNA from 1 species